AUUGAACGCUGGCGGCAUGCCUUACACAUGCAAGUCGAACGGCAGCACGGGUGCUUGCACCUGGUGGCGAGUGGCGAACGGGUGAGUAAUACAUCGGAACAUGUCCUGUAGUGGGGGAUAGCCCGGCGAAAGCCAGAUUAAUACCGCAUACGAUCUACGGAUGAAAGCGGGGGACCUUCGGGCCUCGCGCUAUAGGGUUGGCCGAUGGCUGAUUAGCUAGUUGGUGGGGUAAAGGCCUACCAAGGCGACGAUCAGUAGCUGGUCUGAGAGGACGACCAGCCACACUGGGACUGAGACACGGCCCAGACUCCUACGGGAGGCAGCAGUGGGGAAUUUUGGACAAUGGGCGAAAGCCUGAUCCAGCAAUGCCGCGUGUGUGAAGAAGGCCUUCGGGUUGUAAAGCACUUUUGUCCGGAAAGAAAUCCUUGGCCCUAAUACGGUCGGGGGAUGACGGUACCGGAAGAAUAAGCACCGGCUAACUACGUG
rnacentral:rRNA from 1 species